GAUUAUCGAAGGAGUUUCGCCUUAAUUCAUAAUC
rnacentral:ncRNA from 1 species